AAUGAACGCUGGCGGCAGGCCUAACACAUGCAAGUCGAACGGAUCCUUCGGGAUUAGUGGCGGACGGGUGAGUAACGCGUGGAAACAUACCCUUUGGUACGGAAUAGCCUCGGGAAACUGGGAGUAAUACCGUAUGUGGUCGAGAGACGAAAGAUUUAUCGCCAAAGGAUUGGCCCGCGUUGGAUUAGGUAGUUGGUGGGGUAAUGGCUUACCAAGCCGACGAUCCAUAGCUGGUUUGAGAGGAUGAUCAGCCACACUGGGACUGAGACACGGCCCAGACUCCUACGGGAGGCAGCAGUGGGGAAUCUUAGACAAUGGGGGAAACCCUGAUCUAGCCAUGCCGCGUGAUCGAUGAAGGCCUUAGGGUUGUAAAGAUCUUUCAGGUGGGAAGAUAAUGACUGUACCACCAGAAGAAGCCCCGGCUAACUCCGUGCCAGCCGCCGCGGUAA
rnacentral:rRNA from 1 species